GCAGUGGUGGCCGAGUGGUUAAGGCGAUUGACUAGAAAUCAAUUGGGGUCUCCCCGCGUAGGUUCGAAUCCUACCCACUGCG
rnacentral:tRNA from 1 species